AUUGAACGCUGGCGGCAUGCCUUACACAUGCAAGUCGAACGGCAGCACGGGAGCAAUCCUGGUGGCGAGUGGCGAACGGGUGAGUAAUAUAUCGGAACGUGCCCAGUCGUGGGGAUAACGUAGCGAAAGCUACGCUAAUACCGCAUACGAUCUAUGGAUGAAAGCGGGGGAUCGCAAGACCUCGCGCGAUUGGAGCGGCCGAUAUCAGAUUAGCUAGUUGGUGGGGUAAAGGCUCACCAAGCCAACGAUCUGUAGCUGGUCUGAGAGGACGACCAGCCACACUGGAACUGAGACACGGUCCAGACUCCUACGGGAGGCAGCAGUGGGGAAUUUUGGACAAUGGACGCAAGUCUGAUCCAGCCAUUCCGCGUGCAGGAUGAAGGCCCUCGGGUUGUAAACUGCUUUUGUACGGAACGAAAGGUUUCUAUUAAUACUAGGAGCUCAUGACGGUACCGUAAGAAUAAGCACCGGCUAACUACGUGCCAG
rnacentral:rRNA from 1 species